AUUGCGCAUGCGGGAAACCCACGCUGAGGGAAGAAUCAUGGGAAAGAGGUGAGCCUGUAAAGUUUUAGGAUCAAGGUUAAAGGCCCUUUUUUGCUCUCUUCUCUCUUGGACCUUCAGGCGACGGCUUGGGUAUCUUCCAAGCGAAUUUUCCUUUCUUUCCUGUUCUUUUUUUUUUUUGAGACGGAGUCUUGCUCUGUCGCCCAGGCUGGAGUGCAGUGGCGUGAUGUCGGCUCACUGCAAGCUCCGCCUCCCGGGUUCACGCCAUUCUCCUGCUUCAGCCUCCUGAGUAGCUGGGGCUACAGGCGCCCGCCACCACGCCCGGCUAAUUUUUUUGUAUUUUUUUUUUUAGUAGAGACGGGGUUCCACCGUGUUAGCCAGGAUGGUCUCGAUUUCCUGACCUCGUCAUCCUCCCGCCUUGGCCUCCCAAAGUGCUGGGAUUACAGGCUUGAGCCACCGCGCCCCGCUCUUUCGUGUUCCAAAGGCUUUUUAAAUAAACUUCCACUCCUGUCCUGGAUUCUGCUUUAUGGCCCUCAGUCGAAUUCUUUCUUCUGAGGAGGCAAGGACUGAAGUUGCUUCUGACCAGUACAGGAGAAAACGAAUACAGCAGGGAUGACUUCCACCAGCUCCACUUUGCAGCUCUGAGGUGUAUUAAAAAUGACCUGGAAGAAGUCAUGCCACGGGCCAGACCUUAACAUUCCUUUCGGCUUACCCCAGGAUUUCAGACAAAGCUUCACUUUCCUAACCAGUCACAAAUCAGAGAAUUUUUGAUUCCACCUAUGACCUGUGAGCUCCUGCUUCAAGAUAUUCCACCUUUUUUAGGCCAAACCAAUGUAUAACCUCCAAGUGUCGAUUUACACUUUCGACUGUAACUUCUGCUUUCCUGAGAUUUACCCCUGCCUUUAAAAACCCUUGCUUGUAAUCCCUCAGGGAGGCCGUGUAUUUAUUAAUCAUGAGCU
rnacentral:lncRNA from 10 species